rnacentral:rRNA from 1 species
UACAGAGGUCCCAAGCGUUGUUCGGAUUCAUUGGGCGUAAAGGGUGCGUAGGUGGCGCCGUAAGUCAGGUGUGAAAUCUCGGGGCUUAACUCCGAAACUGCAUUUGAUACUGCGGUGCUUGAGGACUGGAGAGGAGACUGGAAUUUACGGUGUAGCAGUGAAAUGCGUAGAGAUCGUAAGGAAGACCAGUGGCGAAGGCGGGCCUCUGGACAGUUCCUGACACUGAGGCACGAAGGCCAGGGGAGCAAACGGG